GCGGUGGCAAGGUCUUGCACACCUCUACGUUGAAGCUCCAUUUUAGCCCAAGGCGAGAGGCCAUCAAGGAAACAGAAUAGGGCGUCCUUCUCCCCCAUGUCCGGGAUUUCCAGCAUCAGUUCGGAAAACUCUUUCACAUACUCCCGGAUAGCACCCUCCUUGUGCUGGAGGCGCCUAAGCUUGGCCCGAGCCUCACUUUCGGCAUUCUCUGGGUAGAACUGCCUCUUCAGCUCCUUGGUGAACUCUCCC
rnacentral:misc_RNA from 1 species